AGCAGCUUUGCCCUAUUGCCCCUUCAGGAGAAGAGACGUCUGCUGCCCUGUUUUCAGAUAAUACGAGAUUGAGAAAAAAUUAAGAAACAAGGCAAAAGCUGUAAAUGGAAAAGAGGUUCUUCAGUACAGUGGAGGUGAUGUGGAAGUUAUGGCUGGUCUCAAAGCUGAUUUGGAUAGGUACCCAAGAAAUAUUGGAUACCUUUGGGUGCCAGUAAGUUACAGGCUUUGGCAUCGUAUGCUCGAACAGAGAUAAAAGGGAGGUUGUGAAAAUUCUUUAUGGGGCUGGCAGAAUAGCUAAUUGAUAGAGUGGAAUUAUGGUGGCACUUGCAGGAAACGCACCUCUCCAUGCUCUGGGAUCAUUUGUCUACGCAAAACUCUAAAAAUUCUAUAUGAUAGCUCUGAUUUUAGUUUCUAGAUUUUCUACCAGUUUCCAGUUCAGGUUUUGACUAAAUCCUUGCUUCAUUUCCCUUUUCUUCUCGACAAAAUCUUCACAUUUCAUCAGCUCCCACUAUACCCGGAGGAUGAGAGGGUGAGCUUCUCCUUUUCACUUUACACAUUUUCCUAGGUUUAUUGGAAGCUUUAGCAGUGGGAUUGACAUUGAGACUACUACGAUAUGACAAAAGGCUGAAGACCAAGACCAAGAGCUUUCGGCACCAUGCAUGGGAGGCCCAAUCUGGGGGACACAAAAUAUUGCUGUCUGUGAGGUGUUGGGUUCCUUUCAUUUCAUACCUGCAUCGUCAAACCUGCUCAGCACUUGCAAAUUGCAAACCCCAGUUGGAAUUUUUUUACUUUUGACAUGAGAUUACCUACCAGAUUAUUAAUCUAAAUGCCUCUAAAUUAAACCA